rnacentral:rRNA from 1 species
AACGCGAAGAACCUUACCUGGGCUCGAAAUGGAGUGGACCGGAGUAGAAAUAUUCCUUCCCCGCAAGGGGCUGCUCUAUAGGUGCUGCAUGGCUGUCGUCAGCUCGUGUCGUGAGAUGUUGGGUUAAGUCCCGCAACGAGCGCAACCCUUAUUACCAGUUGCCACCAUUUAGUUGGGCACUCUGGUGAGACCGCCUCGGAUAACGGGGAGGAAGGCGGGGAUGACGUCAAGUCCUCAUGGCCUUUAUGUCCAGGGCUACACACGUGCUACAAUGGCCGGUACAAACCGUCGCAAACCCGUGAGGGGGAGCUAAUCGGAAAAAGCCGGCCUCAGUUCGGAUUGGAGUCUGCAACUCGACUCCAUGAAGCUGGAAUCGCUAGUAAUCGCGGAUCAGAACGCCGCGGUGAAUACGUUCCCGGGCCUUGUA